rnacentral:rRNA from 1 species
GUGAGGAAUAUUGGACAAUGGGCGCAAGCCUGAUCCAGCCAUGCCGCGUGCAGGAAGACGCAUCUAUGGUGUGUAAACUGCUUUUGUACGGGAAGAAACACUCCCUCGUGAGGGAGCUUGACGGUACCGUAAGAAUAAGGAUCGGCUAACUCCGUGCCAGCAGCCGCGGUAAUACGGAGGAUCCAAGCGUUAUCCGGAAUCAUUGGGUUUAAAGGGUCCGUAGGCGGUUUAAUAAGUCAGUGGUAAAAGCCCAUCGCUCAACGAUGGAACGGCCAUUGAUACUGUUAGACUGGAAUUACAAGGAAGUAACUAGAAUAUGGAGUGUAGCGGUGAAAUGCUUAGAUAUUACAUGGAAUACCAAUUGCGAAGGCAGGUUACUACUUGUGGAUUGACGCUGAUGGACGAAAGCGUGGGGAGCGAACAGGAUUAGAAACCCCGGUAGUCC